rnacentral:misc_RNA from 1 species
ACUUUUCCAUGACCGAAGAUACCUGUUGCAGACAUAAUUAAACAAAGUAAAAUAAAAGUGUGAACUCUCUAACAGCUCAACAUUAUUAGAUGUAAAAUGAUCACAAACUCAACGUUAUCAAGGCGGUCAGCUGCCAUGGACUCAAGUCUCAUGUAACAGUCCACAAACCACUGACAGUUGACCUCGAGAGGAGCCUGGCCAAAGCGGAUAAUCCAUUGACACUUAUAUCUUAACCAUUACAACCUCUCAGACAUGUUGAAAAUAUAAUUAAGUAAAUAAAACAGUGCUCACACUAAACAACUUAAUUCUUCGUCUUUUAAACGAGACAGUCCACACAAUUCAAAAACUUACCUUUCCAAGCUGGUCACCCAACCAUAAGGUGUCCUAGAAGGUCGGGCCAAAGCAGACAAUACCUUGACAGUAGUGCCAUUACAAACUCAAAGACCAAAAAGGAAAAAAUACUUGCACAAAGCAUACUCGCUCUAACAACUUAAAAUCUUUUAUACGAGACAGUUCACACAAUCCAAAAUCUUAUCUUUGCAAGCCGGUCACCCAACCAUAAGGUGGACUAGCGAGUCGGGCCAAAA